rnacentral:rRNA from 1 species
GAUGAACGCUAGCUACAGGCUUAACACAUGCAAGUCGAGGGACCGGCGCACGGGUGAGUAACAAGUAUCCAACCUGCCCUUUACUCGGGGAUAGCCUUUCGAAAGAAAGAUUAAUACCCGAUAUAAAGGAUGGGGAUGCGUUCCAUUAGGUUGGUGGUGAGGUAACGGCCCACCAAGCCUUCGAUGGAUAGGGGUUCUGAGAGGAGGGUCCCCCACGAUUGAACUGAGGCACAGUCCAAACUCCUACGGGAGGCAGCGGUGAGGAAUAUUGGUCGAGGGGCGUUGGCCUGACCCAGCCAAGUAGCGUGAAGGAUGAAGGCUUUUGGGUCGUAAUCUUCUUUUAUAUAAGAAUAGGUAUUAUAUGAAUAAGGAUCGGCUAACUCCGUGCCAGCAGCCGCGGUAAUAC